CAAUAGCGUAUAUUAAAGUUGUUGCAGUUAAAAAGCUCGUAGUUGAAUUUUUGCUUGCCGCCGAUGUCGGAACUUCCGUACGUUCGGCGGCGUGCAUCCUUGGGUGGAACCUGUGUGGCAUUAGGUUGUCGUGCAGGGGAUGCUCAUCGUUUACUGUGAAAAAAUUAGAGUGUUCAAAGCAGGCUUACGCCGUUGAAUAUAUUAGCAUGGAAUAAUAAGAUAGGACCUUGGUACUAUUUUGUUGGUUUGCGUACCGAGGUAAUGAUUAACAGGGACAGUUGGGGGUAUUCGUAUUCCAUUGUCAGAGGUGAAAUUCUUGGAUUUCUGGAAGACGAACUACUGCGAAAGCAUUUACCAAGGAUGUUUUCAUUAA
rnacentral:rRNA from 1 species